rnacentral:rRNA from 1 species
UGAGGAAUAUUGGACAAUGGGCGAAAGCCUGAUCCAACCAUGCCGCGUGAGUGAUGAAGGCCUUCGGGUUGUAAAGCUCUUUCGACGGGGAAGAUAAUGACCGUACCCGUAGAAGAAGCCACGGCUAAAUUCGUGCCAGCAGCCGCGGUAAUACGAAUGUGGCAAGCGUUGUUCGGAAUCACUGGGCGUAAAGAAUGCGUAGGCGGCUUGACAAGUCAGAAGUGAAAUCCCAGGGCUCAACCCUGGAACUGCUUUUGAAACUGUUGGGCUAGUGUCCCGGAGGGGUUGAUGGAAUUCCGAGUGUAGAGGUGAAAUUCGCAGAUAUUCGGAGGAACACCAGUGGCGAAAGCGAUCAACUGGACGGGUACAGACGCUGAGGCAUGAAAGUGUGGGGAUCAAACA